CGGGUUUGAACGCAGGGGGACUGGGGUGGAAACACCCUUUCCAGCAAUGGCCGCCUGCGAGGUGCUGCAUGGUUGUCGUCAGCUCGUGCCGUGAGGUGUCGGCUUAAGUGCCAUAACGAGCGCAACCCUUGCCGACAGUUGCCAUCAGGUAGUGCUGGGGACUCUGUCGGGACUGCCAGCGUAAGCUGUGAGGAAGGCGGGGAUGACGUCAAAUCAGCACGGCCCUUACAUCCGGGGCGACACACGUGUUACAAUGGCGUGGACAAAGGGCUGCUUUCGGGCGACCGAUGGCGAAUCCCUAAACCACGUCUCAGUUCGGAUCGGAGUCUGCAACCCGACUCCGUGAAGCUGGAUUCGCUAGUAAUCGCGCAUCAGCCAUGGCGCGGUGAAUACGUUCCCGGGCC
rnacentral:rRNA from 1 species